GGAGCGAGCGGAGGCACCACGGGAUCGGCGACGGAAGAAGGAGGGUGCGGGUACGGAGGGAGAGGAGAAGGAGAGGGGGAUCGCGGCGGGCGUGGCCGCGGAGGGAGAGGAGGAGAGCGGGGAUCGCGGCCGUGGUGACGGAGGAAGGGGCGGCGGUGGGCCGGAGGAGGGGAGUGCAACGGGAGGUAGGUGGGGAGGCCAGACCGCGGCGGGUUUGGGGUUACGGCGCGGGGCCGGGACCGAGGGUGCCCUCCCUUCCUCCUUAACGCUCCGCUUCGUUUCCGCCGUCGCAUACCGUGCGCCGCGCCCGCCACACCGGGUCCCGCAGCCGCGCCGGCGCCGAAGAGCAGCAGAGGCAGCAGCGGAGCCGCGGGUCGGCCGGCGGCGGCGUGUAGUACUCCACCUUACGGUGGGUAAAGGGGCGGCAGGGGAGCCGGGUACGAUGGGGAUCGCGGUGCCAGCGGUACAGGGACGGAAGAGGAGCUGUCCUCCUUCUCGCUCCGGUGUUUGCCUAGACCUCUAACUUAGCCCGAGGUUACCGAGGACGCGCCGUACUACGGACAAUUCCCACCAACGAUAGAGUCUAUAGAGGAGCAAGGAGAAGCACACGACGAUCCUCGGAUAUACACUACACAUGGACACAACCACGGAAAUGUCUUCUAGGUAAUACGGAAGGAGAGCCACACACAACAACUCCGAUAGUUUGUUCGGUUACCGCAACGUAUUUACCAAACACUUCUAACGGUAACCUCAGAUCGACCCCAUCAUCCGACAGUUUUUCUACACCAGCGAACAUCUUGUGGAACUUCGAGGGUUUUACGUUUGUGGUCCUCUAUCCCUACAGUUUGACUUUGUUUCUUCGGGUACUAGCCAGAGUAUUACAAUGGUUAUCAUGGCGGUAGUCGACGUUUCUACUGUUCGAGUUCGUCCAGACUAGGUCACUGUUGUUGUUAUCACGUCCCACGUACUCGUCCGGAUGUAUAAAGAGUUUUCUCGUGCGGCAACGGUUGCUGACCUCUUCGCGGUCGGUGGCUCAGCCUGCAGGUGAAGCGGUAACGGCAGCAGGAGCGGGGCCGUCUUCGUGCAAUAUAGGCAGGAAAGUAAAAAUGAAAAAGAAUUUACAUAAAUAAACUUCCGCGUGGAAAUCAAUAAUUGGUUAUGUACAUAACAAGUACAGAAGAUGAGGGAGACAUUUCUUUAUACAUAGAAUAUAAACUUCCACGUAGAAGAUGAGAGAGACAUUUCUUUAUAUUCUAUCCAUAUAUUCUAUCCAUAAAGAAAUAUCUCCCUCGUGUAUCAAGAAGC
rnacentral:rRNA from 1 species